UACAGAGACUGCAAGCGUUAUUCGGAUUCACUGGGCGUAAAGGGCGCGUAGGCGGUGUGUCAAGUCAGGCGCUGAAAGCCCCCGGGCUCAACCUGGGGAACAGCGCUUCGAGACUGGCACGCUCGGAGUUCGGGAGAGGAUGGUGGAAUCCCGGUGUAGCGGUGAAAUGCGCAGAUAUCAGGAAGAACACCCGUGGCGAAGGCGGCUCCUCUGGGACGGUCACUGACGCUGAGA
rnacentral:rRNA from 1 species